GGAACUGCCGGUGAUAAGCCGGAGGAAGGUGGGGAUGACGUCAAGUCCUCAUGGCCCUUACAGGCUGGGCUACACACGUGCUACAAUGGCAUCUACAGUGGGCAGCUAUUCCGCAAGGAUGCGCUAAUCUCCAAAAGAUGUCUCAGUUCGGAUUGUCCUCUGCAACUCGAGGGCAUGAAGGCGGAAUCGCUAGUAAUCGCGGAUCAGCAUGCCGCGGUGAAUACGUUCCCAGGCCUU
rnacentral:rRNA from 1 species